UGGAGUUCACACAACAAAUGACGUCUCUGC
rnacentral:piRNA from 1 species